GGUCAGAGGCUGUAAAACUUGAAGAAAGGAGCCAAGAUCGCCAGAAAUACAGUGGUGGUAUUAUAGCAAACAUGAGAUCCUAAGUCCUUUUUCAAAGCGUGCCUGCUCCCUGCAAGAGGAGGAACAGUGGCCAACCCACUCAAUCAGCUGUUGCCAUGUGGGACCUGUGAAACCUAGCUACCAUGCAAAAAGUCUGACUGACUCGAGAUUACCAUAUUGUGAGGAAGUCCAAGCUAACCACAGGGAGGGGAACUGAGAAACCUAAACAACAGUGAAAACUGAAGUCCGAGAUAGAUGGCCCAAGCUGAGCCAUCAUGGGUGACACUACCAGGGGCCAAGACAGGUUCUCUCUAACAAGCCUGUCCAAGUCACAAAGCGAGGCCACCUUGGUAGGAGAAAGUAAGAAGAUAUGACCAGUUAUCUCCUCCAUCAGACAAAGGCACUAUUGAUUGUUCAGGAAAUUAAGUGGCCCCCUUUGCACCACAGUGCAAAAAAUGUACUCUUCUUUGGUGAAUCUUUAUUAUGUUGAUUGUUAAAGUGAUAUCUGUACAUAUUAAAUGUG
rnacentral:lncRNA from 10 species